CAGUAGCCGCGGUAAUACGUAGGGUGCAAGCGUUAAUCGGAAUUACUGGGCGUAAAGCGCGCGUAGGUGGUUCAUUAAGUUGGAUGUGAAAGCCCUGGGCUCAACCUGGGAACUGCAUCCAAGACUGGUGAGCUAGAGUACGGUAGAGGGUAGUGGAAUUUCCUGUGUAGCGGUGAAAUGCGUAGAUAUAGGAAGGAACACCAGUGGCGAAGGCGACUACCUGGACUGAUACUGACACUGAGGUGCGAAAGCGUGGGGAGCAAACAGGAUUAGAUACCCCUGUAGUCCCUGUCUCUUAUAU
rnacentral:rRNA from 1 species